rnacentral:rRNA from 1 species
CCUACGGGGUGCAGCAGUGAGGAAUAUUGGUCAAUGGACGAGAGUCUGAACCAGCCAAGUAGCGUGAAGGAUGACUGCCCUAUGGGUUGUAAACUUCUUUUAUAUGGGAAUAAAAUGUUCCACGUGUGGGAUUUUGUAUGUACCAUAUGAAUAAGGAUCGGCUAACUCCGUGCCAGCAGCCGCGGUAAUACGGAGGAUCCGAGCGUUAUCCGGAUUUAUUGGGUUUAAAGGGAGCGUAGGUGGAGUGUUAAGUCAGUUGUGAAAGUUUGCGGCUCAACCGUAAAAUUGCAGUUGAAACUGGCAGUCUUGAGUACAGUAGAGGUGGGCGGAAUUCGUGGUGUAGCGGUGAAAUGCUUAGAUAUCACGAAGAACUCCGAUUGCGAAGGCAGUUCACUGGACUGCAACUGACACUGAGGCUCGAAAGUGUGGGUAUCAAACAGGAUUAGAUACCCGGGUAGUC